UCCUCCCGCCCGGGGCCGGGCACCGCCUGGAGCUGCUCCGGGGCUGCGGCGGCGCGGGGCUGCAGGCGGCUGCAGCAGGAGCCCCAGUCCUGGAAGAUGAGCAGCCCCACCAGGUUGACGGCCAGGCCCAGCGCCCCUACGAUGAGCACCAGCUCGGGGCCGUCGAUGCGCUCGGGCCGGGCCAGGCGCAGCACCGCCUCCACCAGGAUGGUGAAGCAGAGGGCGGUGAGGAAGACGGCGUUGCUCAGCGCCCCCACCGCCUCGGCGCGGCCGUAGCCGUAGGUGGCGCUGGGGCCCCGGCGGGCGCGGCGGGAGAUGCGCCCGGUGGCGAUGCCCACGCACAGCGAGAUGAGGUCCGAGAGCAUGUUGAACGAGUCCGACACCAGCGCGAUGGAGUUGCCCAGUUCUACCUUUAAUACUACUCAAAAUAACACCUGUCAAAUUGAUGGAGAAAGAGCUACAUCCUAGGGGACUGCUGAGGGUUUGCAGGCCUUGGAGGACUGGCAAUGGGAUACAAAGCUUUAAGCUCAUCAGCAGAUGCUGUGACGUAAUUCUGAAAGUUUGCCUGUACCUUGAAUAUGAACCCUGUCACCCAAAAUUAGAUGAUACAAACAGCUUUGGAAUCAAAGGUCACGAGACAGUCCUUUUUAACUUUACUACUGUAAACUGCUCUAUGCAGUGCUCUGAAUGCUUUACUUUCUGUACUUGUAAACUUUAAGUUUUGC